rnacentral:rRNA from 1 species
CAACUUUCAACAACGGAUCUCUUGGUUCUGGCAUCGAUGAAGAACGCAGCGAAAUGCGAUAAGUAGUGUGAAUUGCACAAUUCAGUGAAUCAUCGAAUCUUUGAACGCACAUUGCGCCCCUUGGUAUUCCAUGGGGCAUGCCUGUUCGAGCGUC